UACAGGGGGGGCAAGCGUUGUUCGGAAUUACUGGGCGUAAAGGGUCUGUAGGUGGCUUGCUAAGUCAGACGUGAAAUCCCUCAGCUUAACUGGGGAACUGCGUCUGAUACUGGCAAGCUUGAGUGCAGGAGAGGAACGCGGAAUUCCAGGUGUAGCGGUGAAAUGCGUAGAUAUCUGGAGGAACACCGGUGGCGAAGGCGGCGCUCUGGACUGCAACUGACACUGAGAGACGAAAGCCAGGGGAGCAAACGGG
rnacentral:rRNA from 1 species